AGUGGCGGACGGGUGAGUAACACGUGAGCGACCUGCCUUUCAGAGGGGGAUAACGGCUGGAAACGGUCGCUAAUACCGCAUGCUGAAAGAUGGGCUCGCGUCUGAUUAGAUAGUUGGUGGGGUAACGGCCUACCAAGUCUACGAUCAGUAGCCGGACUGAGAGGUUGAACGGCCACAUUGGGACUGAGAUACGGCCCAGACUCCUACGGGAGGCAGCAGUGGGGAAUAUUGCACAAUGGGGGAAACCCUGAUGCAGCAACGCCGCGUGAAGGAUGACGGUUUUCGGAUUGUAAACUUCUUUUCUUAGUGACGCGGUAGCUAAGGAAUAAGCAUCGGCUAACUACGUGCCAACAGCCGCGGUAAUACGUAGGAUGCAAGCGUUAUCCGGAUUUACUGGGUGUAAAGGGAGCGCAGCGGGACUGCAAGUUGGAUGUGAAAUACCGUGGCUUAACCACGGAACUGCAUCCAAAACUGUAGUUCUUGAGUGAAGUAGAGGCAAGCGGAAUUCCGAGUGUAGCGGUGAAAUGCGUA
rnacentral:rRNA from 1 species